UUAUAGAUAAGGAAAAUAAGGCAAACAAGGUUAAGUGACUUGACUAGAGUCACAUAACUAAGGUGAGAUUUGAACUCUGAAAGAUGGGACAUCUUGGCACAGGCACAGUACUCCACUGAGCAACAAACCACCCUGUUUCCAGGAACUUAUUGGUGACUCUUCCUUAGAAUAAAGAAAAAUGUUGUGUCAUAAAAAAAGAAAGUGAACCAAACCACUAUCAUAGAGGAAUGCAAGAAUGGAAGCAUCACUCACAACUGGGAGGAACCAAGGAAUAUUGACAACCAGAUGAUCUCAAGGCAUGAGAGAGGUACAAGAAUUUUGGAAGAUACCCACAGGGACCUGUGAUGCUAAGUGGAUGCUCCACUUUGUGAAAGGAUCCAAACCAUCCUGCUUUCAUUCCCUUCAAGGCUCUGUUCUACUUUGUUUGGAUUUCAAAUGCCAGGUACCUUCAUUUCAUACUCCCUUCCCAUUAACAUACAGUAGAC
rnacentral:lncRNA from 1 species